GAUGAACGCUGGCGGCGUGCUUAACACAUGCCAGUCGAACGGAAAGGCCCAAGCUUGCUUGGGUACUCGAGUGGCGAACGGGUGAGUAACACGUGGGUGAUCUGCCCUGCACUUCGGGAUAAGCCUGGGAAACUGGGUCUAAUACCGGAUAGGACCACAUUUUGGAUGGUGUGGUGGAAAGUUUUUCGGUGUGGGAUGAGCUCGCGGCCUAUCAGCUUGUUGGUGGGGUAAUGGCCUACCAAGGCGUCGACGGGUAGCCGGCCUGAGAGGGUGUACGGCCACAUUGGGACUGAGGUACGGCCCAGACUCCUACGGGAGGCAGCAGGGGGGAAUAUUGCACAAUGGGCGCAAGCCUGAUGCAGCGACGCCGCGUGGGGGAUGACGGCCUUCGGGUUGUAAACUCCUUUCGCUAGGGACGAAGCGUUAUGUGACGGUACCUGGAGAAGAAGCACCGGCUAACUACGUG
rnacentral:rRNA from 1 species